rnacentral:rRNA from 1 species
GAUGAACGCUGGCUACAGGCUUAACACAUGCAAGUCGAGGGGAAACGACGGGGAAGCUUGCUUCCCCGGGCGUCGACCGGCGCACGGGUGAGUAACGCGUAUCCAACCUGCCUCUGACUGAGGGAUAACCCGUCGAAAGUCCGCCUAAUACCUCAUGGUAUCGUCUGCGGGCACCCAACGACGAUUAAAGAUUUCAUCGGUCAGGGAUGGGGAUGCGUCUGAUUAGCUUGUUGGCGGGGUAACGGCCCACCAAGGCUACGAUCAGUAGGGGGUCGGAGAGGAAGGUCCCCCACAAUGGAACUGAGACACGGUCCAAACUCCUACGGGAGGCAGCAGUGAGGAAGAUUAGUGAAUGGGCGAGAGCCUGAACCAGCCAAGUAGCGUGCAGGAAGACGGCCCUAUGGGAUGUAAACUGCUUUUAUGCGGGGAUAAAGUGAGGGACGUAUCCCUCAUUGCAGGUACCGCAUGAAUAAGGACCGGCUAAUUCCGUG